GCAACCUAUUCUACAAAUUAAUCCCCACAUUAGUAAACAGGGACACAAAUCCAAGUCACAAAAUGAACAAUAAUGAUGCUAGACCUAAUGCAUGAUUUUUAAACCACAGUUAACUUACUACCUUUCUCAGUAAACAUAAAUUAUGCAAGUCAUUGGCCCCACAAAUUUGAGUAAUUUCCAAGUUUGCUAGAUAAAAUAAAUGUUGUCAAAAAGGCACAAUACUUUUUUUGGAUACGUAAGGCAUGAUACUUAUUGCACAGAAGGAAAAUAAAAUAUUCAAUACAGCAAGA
rnacentral:misc_RNA from 1 species